GUGCCGUAUGAAAGGGGAGAAGGUUAGUGCUCCUCUUGAUAAGAGUGGAAGUCCUAGUGACCUUCAGCACACGUAUGGUUAAGACAUAGCCACCGGCCGUCUCUACCUGAGAUUUUG